rnacentral:sRNA from 1 species
GCUCCAGCCACCUGGGUGUGAGCUAUGCCCUCUGCCAGAAAUGCUCUUUCCUCUAUUGGCCUGGCCACAACUACUCAGCCUUUGGGUCUGUUUAACUGCCACUGCCCCCAAUAAACCUUCUGUUCCCCAUUCACAUCAAAUGGACUUGUGUCCCUUGCACUAGUCUAUGAGCUUUUGGAUGUCUGUGUCCUUAGGGCCCAAGCUGGCCAGUCUGGCCCAGAUGCAGCCUCGGGUCGUGUCUUGUCUGCAGGGUGUGGGGGGACAGUAUGUGCACCCCCUUGCUUUCUCAGGUAGACUUUGAACAACUGACUGAGAACCUGGGGCAGCUGGAGCGCCGGAGCCGGGUAGCCGAGGAGAGCCUGCGGAGCUUGGCCAAGCAUGAGCUGGCCCCAGCCCUGCGUGCCCGCCUCACCCACUUCCUGGCCCAGUGUGCCCGCCGUGUUGCCAUGCUGAGGAUAGUGCACCGCCGUGUCUGCAAUAGGUUCCAUGCCUUCCUGCUCUACCUGGGCUACACCCCGCAGGCGGCCCGUGAAGUGCGCAUCACGCAGUUCUGCCACACGCUGCGGGAAUUUGCGCUUGAGUAUCGGACUUGCCGGGAACGAGUGCUACAGCAGCAGCAGAAGCGGGCCACAUACCGUGAGCGCAACAAGACCCGGGGACGCAUGAUCACCGAG